rnacentral:rRNA from 1 species
AUGCACGGCGUCUCGAAGGCUCCAACCUCGCUCGUCAAUGGAUGGUCAAUCAAGCAGAGUUUUCACACCAGGUGCCAUUUCAUAUCCAGAACUCCCCACAGCGGCGAGAGUCCUGGAGCCGACCGCAACCGUAGCCCGAAUCAGAACCCGCCGGCUGACGCUUCCGGAGGGGGCCACGGCCGCGGCCAAGGCCGCUGCCAGGGCGCGCCGCGCCGCCCGUUCACGGCCCUCUGCCAAGAGAGGGCGUACAUGAUGCCGUCGAUGAACGAAGGUGGCAAGGGCAGCGAUUAUGGGAGCUCGGAGGCCGGGAGCUACGAGCAUGAGCAUGAGGAGGAGCUAGAGCACCACCAUCGCGUUCACCACCAGGAGCACCCGGGUGGUGUCCAUUGUGAUGGGGAUGAUGAUAUCAAGGCUGUGGGCGAGGGCUACCUGCGAGGAUGA